rnacentral:rRNA from 1 species
CUACGGGCGGCUCCAGUGAGGAAUAUUGCACAAUGAGGGGAACCCUGAUGCAGCAACGCCGCGUGGAGGAUGACGCAUUUCGGUGUGUAAACUCCUUUUAUAUGUCAAGAAAAUGACGGUAGCAUAUGAAUAAGCACCGGCUAACUCCGUGCCAGCAGCCGCGGUAAUACGGAGGGUGCAAGCGUUACUCGGAAUCACUGGGCGUAAAGGACGCGUAGGCGGGUUGGAAAGUCAGGUGUGAAAUCCUACAGCUUAACUGUAGAACUGCACUUGAAACUUCUAAUCUAGAGUAUGGGAGGGGGAGAUGGAAUUAGUGGUGUAGGGGUAAGAUCCGUAGAUAUCACUAGGAAUACCUAAAGCGAAGGCGAUCUCCUGGAACAUUACUGACGCUAAGGCGUGAAAGCGUGGGGAGCAAACAGGAUUAGAUACCCUAGUAGUC